rnacentral:rRNA from 1 species
AUUGAACGCUGGCGGCAUGCCUUACACAUGCAAGUCGAACGGCAUCGCGGGAAAGCUUGCUUUCCUGGCGGCGAGUGGCGAACGGGUGAGUAACACAUCGGAACGUACCGGCUAGUGGGGGAUAACCCGUCGAAAGACGGGCUAAUACCGCAUACGCUCUUCGGAGGAAAGCAGGGGACCUUUGGGCCUUGCGCUAGCCGAGCGGCCGAUGUCCGAUUAGCUAGUUGGUGGGGUAAAGGCCUACCAAGGCGACGAUCGGUAGCGAGUCUGAGAGGACGAUCCGCCACACUGGGACUGAGACACGGCCCAGACUCCUACGGGAGGCAGCAGUGGGGAAUCUUGGACAAAGGGGGCAACCCUGAUCCAGCAAUGCCGCGUGGGUGAAGAAGGCCUUCGGGUUGUAAAGCCCUUUCGGCAGGGAAGAAAUCGGCGGGGCGAAUAACCCUGCUGGAUGACGGUACCUGCAGAAGAAGCACCGGCUAACUACGUG